AGCUCCAAUAGCGUAUACUAAAGUUGUUGCAGUUAAAAAGCUCGUAGUUGAAUUUCUGGUUGUGAACGACGGUCCAUUCCUCAAGGAAUGCGUUACUAUUCAUUCAUGGCCAUCCUCGGGGAGAAUGUGUGUUACUUUCAGUAGUCGCGCACAGGAACCCCGUCAUUUACUGUGAGCAAAAUAGAGUGUUCAAAGCAGGCUUAUGCCGUUGAAUAUAUUAGCAUGGAAUAAUAAGAUAUGACUUUGGUCUAUUUUGUUGGUUUGCUUUCCAAAGUAAUGAUUAAUAGGGAUAGUUGGGGGUAUUCGUAUUCAAUUGUCAGAGGUGAAAUUCUUGGAUUUAUGGAAGACGAACUACUGCGAAAGCAUUUACCAAGGAUGUUUUCA
rnacentral:rRNA from 1 species